AGUCAGAGGACAUUUAUGAGGAAUCGAGGAUUUUGAAGGAGUUGAUAGGAUUCAAACGCUUGUCGCCUGAAGCAGUAAUUAAGUUCAGAAAUAGAGAUGAGGUACUACGUUUGGGUGAUGGGUUUGAGUGAGGCAGGGAGAUGACCUUUCUGGCGUUUGAUGUCUACAAUGUUCGAGUUAUAGCAACUGCAAAUGACUUGUAUUGCUGGAUGAUCUUUUGUGUUUUCGUGUUUUUUCUUUGUAGGUUAGUUUCGUCUUGGUUGCUUUGUAAAUGUAUGGAUGUUUGGUUCCUCCUGUUUUGGAAACUCUCGGAACCUUUUAAAACUAUGGCUGUUGUGUAGACCAUCCUAUCUAUUCGGUCUCCAUUGUUUUCCAAGGGGACUAAUGAAACUAUGACUGAGAUUCAA